rnacentral:lncRNA from 1 species
GGGUUCUCAAAUCCAGAUUUCAUUCUGCAGUCCCGGCAGUGUUUUGACGACUGCCUCACUAAAGGAAGCUAAAAGCUGUGCUGAUGCCUCCCAGACGAGCCUCGUUGGAAGCACAGAACCUUCACGGCUCGGAGCCGCUGACACCGUGACAAAGGGAGCCCUGCUCAGGAGAAAGAGCAAAUGAGAGGAAGUUGCACUUUUUCAGGUGUCAGGCUGGAGGAAGCCACUUGAAGAUGAGUCUACCUCUGCCUUAGGAUUGCCUGAUGGCCUGUGCCAUUCCAUGUUAUGUCUACUGAUUUGCUCCCUGUAUUCAACGAUUUUUUUUUUUUUUUUUUUUACUUAAUUCUCUCUUACUGACCCUGAGAGUGACCAUAUUUUUAACCAAUUUGGUCUUCAGCCUCAAAACUUAGCUCUUUCCUUUUGUGGUCCCUGAAUCCUACCACGUGUCAUGGUGGCUGUGAAGAUGUUUGCCAAGCCUGCUGAGAAGGCUCAUCUGUGGCAUCCAAAAGCAGAAAUUUCAACUCUGGACCCCUGUGACCUGCCUUUGGAAUUAUGGAUACCCAGCACUGUUUUGAAAUAUCAGUGGACAUCCAGUUUUUAAAAGCCCUCAGAGCUUUGGGAGACACCCCUUUAUCUCUCUGGCAUGUCAGAGAACCGAUUCAACCCUUCUCAUCUCCUCCUCCUUCCCUCUCUUGGGCCAUCAGGAUGCAGCAGCAACUCACUGUGCAUGUUUUUACAGCUCUUCUCCAGUAAUGCUGCCAUUUCCACUGCAGACCACAGGAUAAACGGACUGCUUCACAGUGGCCCAGGAUACCCUUUUAAGUAGGAGGUAACUAUUCAGUUUCUUAGUGGCCUAUACAUAAACUUGAUUAUGUUCUUCGUUGCUCCAAUAAACUAUUUGUGUGUUUUGUUUUUUCCAGAGGGAGAAGAAAGUACUGUUUUGAUCUAAAAUUAAGCAAACGUUCUUCAAUAAACCCACCAUGAGACUUGACCACUAAUGGUGACCAGCAGUGGCUUUGUCAUGGCCCUGCCCACUGGGGGCAGGCACAUGCCAGGGCCAGGGUAGGCUGCCAGCUGGUGAGCACGAAUAGGUGGCUGGUGGAGCGCACGCAGUGGGAAGGGCAGAUGGCUCCAUUUUGAUUUGUUAGCAAGCUGCUUCCUCGGAAGGGGCUUUCCCUUCAGUGGAGUCUGCACCCCCAGCCUCAGCUGUCUUGGAGCAGAUGUGUAUAGUUAGAGAUGGGGACCUUUUCACUGUAAAUACUGCUCACAUGUUCCUAGGCUGACUUUACUAUGUGCAGAGCCUCUUCCCAAAUAUCCAAAUCCCCUCUGUUGGGUACUACAGAACAGAUGUUACCCUGCCUCCUAUUACAUUAAUUUACGAACUUUACAUAUGCUGAGUUACGGACCCUAAGCUGUUGCAUGUGCUUGGCUCUUAUGUUCCAAAAAGUACAUUUGUAUGGUUUUGUGGAAACUGUGCUGUUCUGCUUUUGCAGUCUGUGAGAUUCUGAUGUUUUUUUUUUCUCAUCAGCAAUUUUCCUUGUCUUGGAACAUCAGAGCUUGAAGAAAGGGAUUCUAGCAGCCCACCUCUCUCCUUCCUAAUCCAGAUGGUUAGAGGCUUAGAGAGAGGUGGCGGUUGCUCUGAGUUUACCAAAUUCAGUGACAAACCCCUUCUAAUUUCUAAUCCAUCUGGCAGCCUUCAUUUACCAAAAGUUGACUUUUGAUAGUAUAACUUUUAUACACUGUGAGACAACUUAUUUUAAAAAACAGUUUAGAAAUGUUUAAUUUUUUUUUGAAAGAAUUUUUAAGGUCAGGCACCAUGGGUCAUGCCUAUCAUCUCAACACUUUGAGGACCGAAGUGGGAGGAUCAUUUGAGGCCAAGAUUUCGAGAUCAGCUUGGGCAACAUAGUGAGACUCUGUCUCUAAAAAAUUUAAAAAAAAUAGCCAGGUGUGGUGGCGCAUGCCUGUAGUCCCAGCUACUUCGGAGGCUGAAGUGGGAGGAUCCAUUGAGCCUAGGAGAUGGCAAUUGAGUAAGCCAUGAUUGCACCACUGCACUCC